rnacentral:lncRNA from 1 species
GGCAAAUUACUCGUUCCGUGGCUUUCUUUCAGAACCACGUCAACGAAAUGGAAGAGAAAAAGAAAAUCUUCGAACUGUUGAAAAGAGGGAAGAUAUCCAUGUGGGUUUUGAUCACGAAGCUCAGGGGACUCAUGGACUGCUUGUGGACAGUUCACAAAAAAAGGCCAAACAACAGCUCGUAACUAAACUGGCAAUAAAAUAUGUACAUUUUCCUCCA